UGUGUGUGUGUGUGUGUCUACUUCAUCUUCCAGGCGUGUGUGUUGAGCUUAGCCUGUUGCACACUGCCUGGCUUUUUCCAGGUUUGGAAGUCCUCCCAAAUGUCUCUGGGGAGGUUCUGAGGAGUAUUUUUGUGUUGUCCCCAGAGAAUCCAGCGCUUAGAUUUGUCACCACUUUGAGUUCUCCCAUUACUAAAGGGAGCUUGGAGUUUGGGGUGAGCAGGGAAAACUGCUUGUAGACCUAGUCCUGGCUCAGAGAUAAGGCAGGCCUCACUAAGGGUCUACCCCUCACUUCCUUUUCUAGCCUUGCAUCUGGGAGCCAGAUCUCUGCAGGAGCAGGCUGCUGGAGGACCCAUAUCCUGCCUAUCCCAUUCCCACAGGGAGCUGGUGGCUUCUGAGCAGAGUAACCAUGCUGAAUGAGGAGGAAGGUGGGGGGGGGGGUUGAGUUCUCUGAAAGAUCCCUGUGGGUACAGAGAUGUGCUGGGCAUCUCACGCUCUGAUGCCUAGCCUCCUCCUGGGUUAACCUCUUCAUGUUCACAAAGAUAUUUUUUUUUUUAAAAGUUAAACAUUCCGUGUUUGUCAUGUGUAGUGUCAUAUACUUUUCUUUAAAAGAUUUAAUUUUAUGUAUGAGUGCCUUGCAUGCACUUAUGUCUGCGCACCAUGUGUGAGCCUGGUGCUGGCAGAGGUCAGGAGAAGGGGUUGGGUUUGUUAGAAUUGGAGUUAGUAGAGUUAUGGAUGAUCGUAAACCACUAAAGUAAGUGAUGGAAACUGAACCCAGGUCCUCUAAAAGAGCAGAAAGCAAUUUUAACCGCUGAGCCAUCCCCUCCAGCCCUUAUGGACAUAUUUUAAGCAACAUGAGAUGGUGAUGAUGUGUCUGUGACCUGGGGCUGUGCAAGGAGCUGGGCCCUCGUGCUGUAGGACAGUGGAACGGUGCAGAACUCAAAAGGUCACUGCUGAGGCUGAGCAGGAACUGAAGCAGACUCAGUUAACUAUUCAGUUAACUAGCUAACUGAUCAGUGGCAGAAGCACUGUAGGCCACAGGACAGGUAACCAUCAGUCAGCUGAUGCUAGAUCCCCACUCCCCACUCUCUGGGUUCCAUAGGUACGGCUCUGACCUGUCUAAGCUGUCUCUUGUGGGCAUCCAGGCUGUUCCUUCAGCUCAUGAAGGAAACCUAGCCAGAGUUCUGUCAGAGUUCUGGAGUGAGCCAAUGCCUGCUGCCCAUGUGCCAGUCCUCUAGCAAGGAGCUGACAACUUUACAAAGCUGCUGAGUUCCUGCCUCUAGCCAGAAGGCUGCCCAGGGCUGGCUGUGGCAUGACAGUGAUGCUUAUAUUGGCAUAUAAGUCAAAUAUCACACAGCUCACCUGUUUAUGGUGUACAGUUCUGCAGACUUCAGGAUAUCACAGAUAAGUGCAGCCAUCACCAUCACAAACAUUAAAGCAGUUUCAUAGGCUAAGGAUGCUGUCUGGAUCGAGUGUUUGUGUAGCAAACAGAAAGCCCAGGGUUCAAUUCCGAGACCUCAGAGACAGGCUGUGCUGUUGUGUGUAAUCCCAACUCCUGAGAGAUGCAGGUGACAAGACCAGGAAUUCACAGCCAUCCUUGGAUUCAUAGCAAGUCUAAGGUCAGCCUGAGCUACAAGAGACCUGGGAGGGAAGCUCACCCCUCAAGCCCCCAUUCCCUCUCAGCCCUGAACCACUAUUAUCUUCCUGGGACUAUGGAUUUGCCUGUUUGGGGUGAGCGGGGAUCUUACAGUGAGUGCACCGGUGGCUGGACUCUUUUCCUCUCAGUGUGUUUCAAGGCUCAUUUGUGUAUAGUGUAUACCAGCGGUCCGGUCCACUCCUUCCUACACCAACUGCAUCCACUGUGUGACAGUGGCACUUCUGUACACUGCAUUCAAAUUUCUUCUACGUCCUAGGUAGAAGUACAGAAAGAGUUCAGCCCAGCAAUCCAGCAUGGUUUAAGUUCCUGAUUCUCAGAAGAGCCAUUAGCUUUGAAGCCCAAACUAGAACCCUGUUCUUCAACAUCCAAGUUGGACACCUGGCACAACUGCAACCCAUCUUUCCUUGUUUGUAGUUCUAGUUCAAUGUCCACAUGGGAGCUGGAUUUCAGCUGUUUCCAAGCCUGAGACGCCCCACCUAUCCAUGAAUCCUGUAGCCUUUCCCAGCCCUGGAGAACACUGUAGGAGGCAGCUAGAUAUCACCCUUUUGUUGAGAGAAGGGGCAGAGGGUGCUGGCAGAGCUUGCCCCCAGCAAGUAAUAGCCCCUAAGGCUAGAGUUUUCAGGUGCUUUUUGGAGCCCAGGAUAAACUGCUCAUACUAUUCCCCUGUCUACCUUUGGGGAGGAGCCUAGAAACAGCGCCAGUGUCUUUCAUGUUCAUCCCUCUGUGUCUUUAAAUUUGUGGACUGUCACUGUUGAAUGAAUCUGGUAAACCAGCAUUUUAAAAAUGGUUGGUUCUCAUGGGACAGAGACAUUGCAGAGACAUUUUGCUUCUAAAGUUUAUCAGGAAUAACAGAUCAAAUUUCCUCUCUGUUCACCCUGCGUCCACAUGAAGGAAUGUACUACUGAACAAGGCCACCAACCAACCACCCUCUUCCAUGUCUCCAGCACUGAGGAUCUGGAAGUCCUGUUGCUUCAGGGAGAACCUGAGGUGUCUUUGCUCCCUGGAGGGAGCAAAGCCUCGUGGCUGGGGAAAUUUUGGAGAACCUUAGCCUUGGGUGAGCUCCCCUCUGCAGCCUGUCUCACUGGGGACAGAACACAGGAUCCUUUGUGACUCUGAGAAGUGACUUCCAAUAUGUGGAGUUGAAGAACAGCAUGGCCGCCUUUGCAGGUGCUUGCUGAGCCUCCUGGGAAGGCCUGAAGACUCCCAGCCGUCGUCGAGCCCUCAUUGCAGUUGCAGCUUAAGGAGCUUAUUCUAUGAAGCCCCCAAGGACUUUCCCAGUUCUCUGGAAAUAGCUGCACGCUCCAGAAAAACCUUCAUCUUUCGGUUAGACAUGUAUCUCUAGAGAUCUACCGACAGCUUUGCCCUGGACAGCCAAAUGUAAUGUGUGAGGCAGAGCCAAAGCGGGAGACCUCAGAGGUCCUGGUUGGGUGGGGCCACCAGGUGGUUCACAGAUGUGGACCAGUCAAGGCUAGAGUAUCUAGUUUAGCAGUUUGGAAAGACAAGACACAUUUACACAGCCGAUCUCUGAGAACCAGAAAGGAAGCUACUUGUCUAAGCUUUGUUCAGCUAUGAAACAGAUCUAACUAACAACUUCCAGCAAACCUGCAGACCCACACUUUGAGACAGGUGUGCAGGUGUGAUCUAAUUUCACCAACUUUUAAAAUAACCAGUUUUUACUUUUACAGAUUAAAACAUACGUGUAUGGAAAUACUAGAUAUAAAGAAUUAUAUAAGGGCAAAUAGGGAGUCCUUCCAGAUUCAGGUGCCAUCACUAGCAUCCCAGUGUUCCUGUGCCAUUUCAGGCAGAAAACUCCCUCCUUGAAAUGUGGAUUGAACUCCUUGUAUCUGCGGUUCUUCCAGCCUUUCUGGCUUUGGCAGGGCACCAGAUUCUGGCUUACCCUUCCCAGCCACUUUGACCACUGCUUUGCCGGACAACCAGUUUGCCAGUUUCGUUUCCGUUCAGGAAGAUUGGUAUUUGUAUGGUUAUUAUUUUUGGAAAAAAAAAAAACGAACUAAAUUAAGGGGAGCCAAGGAGGAGGGAUGUUUGUAGCUGAGGCUCUUUGCUUCCGUGUGGAGCCUUGGUGUUGCCCUUCAGAGCCUCGGGCCAAGGGAGUGGGGGCUGUGGGGCAGCGGGAAUUAGCGCGUGGAGUGAACGUCGGGGCAAGAGUUGGGGUGGAUUAGCGGGUUCAAAAGCAGGUCAGGGGGAGCUAAGCGUGGCGACCAAGUCCGUGCUAGGUCAAGGUCCUUGGCAAAGGCUGGCUCAGGCGAUCUGCAGGGAGCCGCACAGGUUUGAAGCGCCCAGCCAAGGACGAGAGACCCGCAACAGGAACCCAUGCUUGUCUGCAAUAAUUUACAGGAUCCCGUUCGAGCCUCCCGGUAGAGCGUGUGCCCACCUGAAAGACAGAAUUUCUCUUUUACAUUUUAACCUUUUCUUUUUUUCCUUCUUUAUGUUUGAGACAGGACCUCACUCUGUAGCCUAGAUUGGCCUCCAGCUCAUGGACAUCCUCCUGCCCCAGCCUGUGGAAACUCCUGAGAUCACAGGCACCGUCUCACCAAGUCCUACCUCUUUGUUUUUAUACUAUGUCUUUCCUUUCAACUAGAUAACUACAUCGACCCACGCAGAUCGAAUACCUGCAGUACCGAGGGAGAGCUGGGAGCAUCUGAGCCGCCCACAUCUUCUCUUUCCGAAAGGGAAAGAAGUGACUCGAACGUUUGUACAUUCCUCCUUUUUCUCCAAAAGCCUCCCUUUUCUCCAAAAGACUUGUGAGUUUUCACAGGGAACAAACGUAGAGACGCCGUGGAAUUCGAAAUCCUGAUCUUGUUGGUGACAAAGCAGCCGGGAUGGGGAUGAACCGUCGAUGUCUACUCGGAUGGUGGUGACCUUUCCCGGGUCGCCAACUCCAGCGGCCCCCAUGCUGCAAUAGCUGGCGAUUGCUUGGGACCUGGCAUCGGGCUUCUUUUCUUCUUUCCCUCCCGCGCUGUGCAGGCCAGGGGAGUGGGGGUGCGCUGAUGGACUUGGUGUUUUUGAAAUGCGGCGAAGGCGAAUCUGGACUCUGGGCAGGCUACCUUCACGGAGAAAGCCCUAUUGGAUCCCUGCAGGGGAGAAGUUUCACAUUUCCAGCUCUCCAAGGACUGGGAAAAGCUCGGAAACCGAGGUGGCAGGGAGCGGUGGAAGGCGGAGGUGGCUUGGGAGAGGCCUGGGCUGUGAGUCCCCGGGCGGCUCCCGCGACCUCUCCGGAUGCUUCUGCACUGCAGGCCCUGGUCAUGGAAGUGCAGGGUGCAGGCUCGAAAUCGGUACAGAGCAGCGGACCAGGAUGGACCGGCUGGUGCAGGGUUCGGGUCCGAGUGUAAAUACCCUUCUCGGUUCCCAGUCCCACGGAGCCUGACAUCUCUCUAUUGGAAAAACGCCCGGAGCUGAAGACACUGUCUCUCCGUGUCUUAGGCGGGCAUACUCUCAUCACGGCUUGCAACCGGCCCACACAGUUCCGGCUGCAGAGGCAGAAAUAAUGGGACUGAUGGCAAGAAAAUAUCCCAUCGCUUUCCCGCUAUUCCCUGAUCUUCUGGAGCUCCCUCCACCCCCCACCCCCGCCGCCGCAUCCUUGUUUUUGAAUAAAUUUACCGUGGAAGUAUUUA